CCUACGGGGGGCAGCAGUGGGGAAUAUUGGGCAAUGGGGGAAACCCUGACCCAGCAACGCCGCGUGAAGGAAGAAGGUCUUCGGAUCGUAAACUUCUAUCCUUGGUGAAGAUAAUGACGGUAGCAGAGAAGGAAGCCCCGGCUAACUACGUGCCAGCAGCCGCGGUAAUACGUAGGGGGCAAGCGUUGUCCGGAAUGAUUGGGCGUAAAGGGCGCGUAGGCGGCCUGGUAAGUCUGGAGUGAAAGUCCUGCUUUUAAUGUGGGAACUGCUUUGGAUACUGCUUGGCUUGAGUGCAGGAGAGGUAAGUGGAAUUCCCGGUGUAGCGGUGAAAUGCGUAGAGAUCGGGAGGAACACCAGUGGCGAAGGCGACUUACUGGACUGUAACUGACGCUGAGGCGCGAAAGUGUGGGGAGCAAACAGGAUUAGAUACCCCUGUAGUCACC
rnacentral:rRNA from 2 species